GAGACAGCAGUAGCCGCGGGAAUACAGAGGAUGCAAGCGUUAUCCGGAAUGAUUGGGCGUAAAGCGAGCGCAGGCGGUUAGAUAAGUCUGAAGUUAAAGGCUGUGGCUUAACCAUAGUACGCUUUGGAAACUGUCUAACUUGAGUGCAAGAGGGGAGAGUGGAAUUCCAUGUGUAGCAGUGAAAUGCGUAGAGAUGUGGAGGAACACCGAUGGCGAAGGCAGCCCCCUGGGCCAAUACUGGCGCUCAUGCACGAAAGCGUGGGGAGCAAACAGGAUUAGAUACCCGCGUAGUCCCUGUCUCUUAUACA
rnacentral:rRNA from 1 species